UACAAACAACAGUUUUUGUGA
rnacentral:piRNA from 1 species